rnacentral:lncRNA from 1 species
AUCUAUUUUCUGUCUUGGAGAGGCACUGCUUCAUGUAGCCUGGAGUGAACUAAAGCUUGGGUUCAAAUCAAAGGAGCCUCUGGCAGCUAAGAUGCAGACUCUCCCUUUCAGCCUGCAGUAGUUUUUGAGUGUCCAUUGGAACCUCACUGUUGUAGAGAGACGUGACAAGACUCCAGGCCAUUGGUGGAUUUUUACUGUUUGAUUACUUACAACUGUAAUGAUUUAUAAAGUGCUGUUUAAAAAUUGAAAUUACGUUUUUAUUAUUAUUAGAAACAUAUAAUGGUUUAAUUCAUAGUAGGAGUGCUUGCUUUAUUGAUGGCACAUAAUCUUUAGAAUCUGGAAACACUGAUGAGCCAUAUCUUCAAAUCAUCAAUAGCAAGCAGUAGUGUAGGCAAGAAAGCUAAUAAUGUGACUCUAUUAUUUGUGUCUUCAUUAUUACGUCCACCAUUAUGUGGGUUUACAAGAUGCAUUUUAUUUUUCAGACUAAAACCAUCUGACCAUGUUCAGAAUUUAAGUGUUUAAUUGAUUAGUCACUCAAGAAGGAGAGUGGAUCUAGGAGUGUUUCCUAAGAAAAAUCCUGAUUUUAUCCGUGGCAUUUCUUGUCCGUCAUCCAGGUGAGAGGCUUGGUGCGAUUCUUCAGUGCCCAUCUGUGAACCUCUAUCUUACUCUUUUAUAGUUUGUCUACAGUGUGUGUAUCUGCCCUCAGUCAUCAGCACAAAACUGCUUCAUACAGACCUUUGGCAGAAAUACAACCUUAAAUUGCCAAGCUCUUACCAAAGUCAAGUGGAGAGUGGUAAUGUUAUUUGUUUUAUAUUCAUUGGGUCUCAGGUGCACAUGUUGGACCUUGAGCCUUGUUUCAUGACAUGGACUGGUAGCUUUUAAGACUAUCUUUAAAAAAAAUUUUUUUUUAUUGUACUUUAAGUUCUGUGCAGAACGUGCAGGUUUUUUACCUAGGUAUACACGUGCCAUGGUGGUUUGCUGCACCCACCAAUCUGUCAUCUAUAUUAGGUAUUUCUCCUAAUGCUAUUCCUCCCUUACCCCCAACCCCCCAACAGGCCCCAGGGUGUGAUGUUCCCCUCCCUAUGUCCAUGUGAUCUCAUUGUUCACCUCCCACUUAUGAAUGACAGCACGCAGCGUUGUUUUCUGUUCUUGUGUUAGUUUGCUGAGAAUGAUGGUUUCCAGCUUCAUCUAUGUCCCUGCAAAGGACAUGAACUCAAGACCAUCUUUUAAAUGGCAUGCAUUUAGUUCAUCUAUGAGUUAGUUACUCCUGGAAAACUGGGGAUGCAGCUAACCCCAGGGUACUCAUUAGUCCCUGGUAACUCUCUAGUUAAAAAAAAAAUUCAUAUAAAUGUACUCUAGUGGGCGCUGUGGUCACCACCCUGAUUCCCAUUCAGGACCAAAGCACUCCCAAACUCUGAAGUGUUGGUCGCCAACGCCUGUCAGCGAAACUUUCUCUGGGAUUUGUCCUCCACAGAAGGACCUGACUUGUCCAAAAUUAUGCCACCUCCCCUCUUGGUUAAUGUGUGAUUUAAAGCCCAUGUCAUUUGCCUCAACAUGGAACAACUCUAAAGGGUGGUCCCAUCCCAGCUCCAGAGCUCCCUCUGGAAACUACUGAGACUUCUAUUAAGACUGCAUCACUGUUUAGCUCCUUGCUCAACCCAUCUUACUUCCCUCACUCCUUUGUAAGUGGGAGCAGUCUUCAAUAAUCCCUCACAUACCAAUCUCCAUCUCUCGUCUAUACCUCAUAACACCUGACCUAAGACAGCACUCGUUCAUUUGCUUAUUUAUUCAUCUGUUUACUCAUCUAUCCAUCCAUCUACUGUCCAUUCAUCCAUCACUUAUUUAUUCUUGUACCAAACACUUACUGGUUAUAGCAUAUGAAAGAAGUAAGAGAAAAUCUGGAACAUAUUGUUAUAGUUACAGCUAGCUAGUCAUGUAAUAGAGAUGAAGGGAAAAAAGAAAAGAAAAAAAA